AGUCAGUUAAUUGCUGAAAGAAAAGAGGGCACUGAAUCAUCUGUAUCUAUUUGAAUUUUAAGCCACUCGCUCAACCUGCACUUACACUCUCAACAAUCCAAUUUGGAGUGAGGCUGACAUAAAGCUGUAAGAAGGCACUACAGCAUCUUCAGUUCUCUCAUGCUGGUUGUGGGGCUUGUCUCUAAAGAGGACUGCAGACAAAUAAAGCACUUGAGAUAUACUAAUUUGCCUCCACUUUUGAAACCUUCCUCAAGAUACUACCUGGUGCAUGAGACUAGUGGGCUCUCAAAAACCUUGUCUUUUCUUUUUUUUUUUCAGGUUUAGGAGGAAGGCUUCUGAAGAAAUAGAAGAUUUCCGCCUCAGACCACAGAGCCUGAAUGGAUCAGAUUAUGGAGGAGGUAAGAGGCCCUUGGAGGAAGUCAAAAGGUCUUCUAGAGAGGCCCCAGAACAUUUCCUGGGCUACAGCUAAGGCACUGUUGGCUGCAGCAUCACUGAAGACAUUUGCAGUGGUCUUCUGACGCAUGCUGAUGCACAUCUUCAUGCCUUGCUGAAUGCUGCCACCUCUACCUGGAGUAUCUCUCCCUUCUUUAUCUGAUAACCCUGCUUAUCCUUCAAAAGGUCAGCCAAAGCAUCAC
rnacentral:lncRNA from 10 species